AGCAUUCUCUGUUGAAAAGUUGUGCCGUAAGGACGUACAUAAGUCUAAAAGUUCAGUUUCUGGAAAGUACCAGAUAGUGAGUGAGCAACUCUUAGCAGCAGAAGAGUUGCAAUACGUGUGCAAACCUGUUAUACAUACAUAGAUUGUAAUGAAAAAAUGUGAAGGCUGUGAAGAAGAGUGUGAUAUGAUGAGGACGAGCAAAUGGCCUUCGUGACAGAGCGAGUGGUAUGAGUCAUGAGCAACUGCUGUCAAUCAACGCUCACCUGAAGCCUUUGGUCCGGAAUUCACACUCGCUUAAAUGUUCAUAGUAAGCGACAACAGAAAACGUUUUUAGUGGCUUGUGUAGCUGAGGGUUGCUUUGCACAAAGACGACACAUACAUACAUACAUACGCAGUUUUCCUGCUCCUCGAAACGUUAAUGGCAACGAUGAGGAGGAACGGAACACUUGACAAACAGCAAGAGCAACCACAUCAAAUCAGAAAACAUUAAAUCGAUGGGCAAUGAAAUCGAUACCUACCUACCAACCUGCAUCAUCAAUCAAUCCGAUAAUCGUCUGCUUGAUUUUCGUUUUAAUCACUGAGUGAGUCUUCACGUCUGUCCGUCUUCUACAUCCACAAUGGCAGCCAGUUGCACACCAGCCGAUCCUACACAGUUGGCCGAAACAGCAAACUAGCAGCGGCAGCAGCAGCAGCAAACACCACCGAGUCUCCCUUAACCAAAAUGCCAGAUGCAGCUGACAGAUAAAUGGGGACAAGGCGGAAUUGCGCGCGGCAGCAGCAGCUUGAGCUCAACAGCAAACACAUGUGUGUGCCUUAUGCUUCCUGGUCGGUUACCACCAUCACAACAAUCACUACCUACUAUACAUAAAGCGGUUAGCUGUUGCUGACGGCACCUACUACCACCACCAAUCCACACAGAUAUCUCUGCAUACACGCGGUAUUCGUAUAUCAGCUGCGAACGCAAAACAAUUACUUUUUAAAACAGAUUUACAGCAAAAGGAAAUCAUAGAAUGGAAUCUCUUCGUCUUCAACGUGUCGUCGUCGUCGUCGUCGUCGUCGUCAUCAUCAUUAUUAUCUGCAGCUUCAGCAACUUCUGAGCAUCGUCGUAUUCUACUUAUCACUUCACUUCUUUACUUGAGUUUGGUGGCACGUAAGCCGUAUCGAAUUUUUCUUCUUGAUUAACUCUUGAAUUGCAGUUAAGAUAUACAAUGAAAUUCAAUGAACUCUCAUAUCCACACACUCCAAGAAGAGUGGGGGGCUGCACACUUAUCUACAGAUUGAUAGAGGAAUCGGCGGAGUUGGCGAACUUAUCGUAUCGUAAUAUAGGAAGAAGUUUGAUAUUUUGAUUAUCACUAUCGCUAUGUUUAGCAUAAAUACGUGGGCUUCAAUUUUUUUGUAGCGGCGCAUCACAGUUGAACAGUGCCUGUGAGCGUCUGGUUUCAUCAAUGGAAAGUCGCCUCUAUUCCUUGUCUGGUCUGACAGUAUAAGAUCAAGCAGCUUUAAGCGCCCGCCCUGUGGACACCUCUAAGCUUUAGGACACAAAACAUUUCUUGUUUAUACAUGUAUUUUUUAGCGACGUGACGCAGUUGAACGGUGCCUGCGUGCGUCUGCAAGGAUAUGACCAUGACCAAGCAAUACGCAAAUCAUCCAAUAUGUCCAGGCCAUCUUUUCUGUCAAAUCACGUUGCACGUUUAGAAGUACGCCAGGAUUAAAGUCAAGAUAAAGAGCUGGCCAAAAACGCGUAACGUGUUUCUUAUUACCUAACAAGAAAAUAUGUUGCGUUUGUUUCUCUUUUAGCAUGUUGGGCCAAUGGUCUGUUCAUUAAGAGCUGAAACCGAGAAACAAAUUUAUGAACGUUGAUGGAUGGUCAAAAUUCGCAAAAUUCUGGAUAGCGUAAUUUUUACUAUUUCUACUCUUAAUUUGGCUCUUGUAGCCAGCACAACUGUUUCGUAAACGUGUUUAUAUGAUUUCCAGCCAGGCGGCAAACAGAAAAUCUAAACGACAGUGAGGUGGACUUAUUGUCCUGGACAAUGGUCGGAGGAGUGAACCUAUAUCCAUAUAGAAGAAAGACGAAAGACCCAAGCGUAAUUUUGAGAUAUUGCCAAACAAAAAACAUUUCUUUUUGUAUUUUAUAGCAAUAUGACGCAGUUGAACGGUGCCUGCGCAUAUUGGAAGUUGUUAAUCCCCACAAAUAGGGUAAUACUUCUUGUAGUUCAAGCGAGGAAACGCCAUCUAAAGGAUUUUCAUGUAAAUUAUGCGAUUUCCUUUGUGCAAAAUUCUUCCUUUUUGUAUCUUGUAGCUAAGAACCGCAGUUGAAUGUGCCUGGGCAUAUCUGUCGGUAGCUUUCAAAAUGAUAAAGGAGAAAGAAGCCGUGUCGGCGAGGAAGUGAAGACUUUGUUCUUUACCAGGGGCAACCCUUUAAGACAUCAGCAACGAUAAAGGAUUUGUCACAGAAGUUUACUUUCUCUAUACUUUUACCUACAGCUUUUUUUCUAAGCAUGUCAUGUAUUAAUUACAGUGGCGUUGUUUCUUGGUUGCUACCCUCCUGGAAAAAUCGAAUACUUAUAUCAAAAUUCCUUGAGGCAAUGAGAAUGAAAAGCCAACUUGCAAGCAAUAUAACACCGACAGUUGACCGACAUCAUUCCGGUCGAUAGACAACCCUGUCAACUGUGAAGGUCAGCCAGACACUGAAUACACCUUGAAUCGCUUAAAUAUGUUUUGCAGCCUAAGAGAAAAGACGAUCUUGACGUAUUUGCAAACUACAUAAAUGCCAUCACCACAUAUUACCAUCUUUAGAUCGAGGAUAGGCCUGCUUUUGUCACUUGGAACUCAAUUCACGACGUGAGAAACUUGUUCGCUUACCAUUUUUGCUUUGCACUUUCACUUUUGCAGCGAUUUGUGAGGCAGUUGAAUGUGCUUAAAAGUACUGCAAAUUCCGUUUUGGGAACGCUCCGGAGGUACAAUAUGUACACACGAAUUCUCUAUCUUUUCCAACUCUACUAGCUCUCACACUACAAAAUCGUUAAAGGGAAUCAAAAACGAUACAUCAAGUUCAUCCAGCUAGGUACAGUCUUCAAACAAUGCCAGCACCACAACAACAAAAUGUAUAACAACAACUGCUCCCAGCUGCCUUUUGAAGGCCAAUGCGAGUCGAGAGUCGAGUCCAGCCAGAUAGCCGCUGAAUCACAAAUACAGAUACAGAUCCAAGUAGAUCGAUUUGUGUCUCGUACAAUUUAACGUUUUUACAUUACAGAAACGUAAGCUGCACGAUAUUGGGCAACGACGAUAGUCGUCUACUGGCUAAUGGCUAGUUGGUAGUUGAUGCACUCCAGCUCCUACGCACUCACGACCCGACCCGACCACUUGAACACAAGGCGCGGACUCUAUUCCCCUCUAUUGAGGAGGCAUCACAGCGUAGCUCUGCCAAGACGAGGCUGGGUCAGCUCUCAGUCCAGCACGUAAUGCAUUGCACCGCAUAGAAAUAUGCGCUCGGUCCGCGCUAAAGGGAAACAAAUGCGUUUGGACCGAGACCCGCCACACCACACAAUCACCAGCACUCGCUUAAGAGGCGAGCUGAUGUGUUGUCGUUGUUAUCGGGCAGCUGCCUGCAAGUACGCUACCGGCUCUCAAGCAUCGUCGUCGUCGUCGUCGUCUUCACGGUCGCCGUCGCCUCGUUCUCGCUUUCAGCAUUUUGUGCGCCCUGCAAGCCAAGUGUAUGUAUAUUGUAGUAUAUAGUAGAAGCAGCUAUGAAGCUAUGAACGAUCCGGCCUGAGGAAUUCGUGCUCGUGGCUUAUCGCAAAAGGGAAUCAAAUGCGACUAGUGUUCCAAGCGUCAGAAGCAAUCAGAAUCCUGUGCAGCAGCAGUCGCGACAGAUGGCAGCGAUCAAGAGAUCGAAGAACAGGCCAGACGGCGGUGGUGGUAUUCAACUGGUUCUAUAAUCUGUUGUGUAACUUAUCCGCCUACUCCCAUUUCCUAGGUCGCACAUAUUUUUAACAGAAUGUAACCCCCCGGUAAUCAAUCAAAUCCAUCGCAAAGGGAAUCAAAUGCGAUUAGUGUUCGAUGACGAAGAAGCUAGCUAGUUAAAUCAGCUCUACGCUACGCUUCGAUUUGCCAGUUGAGCGCUUAACUCCUGGUGCACCGUUCAACAUUCCGCAAAUGGGAAACAAUUGCGAGGUGGUACUGCAGCAACGCACACACACACAGACACACUCACGCACACAUAUGCGGGAUUUCCUGUUAUGUGGCGGCCAAGAACGAGCAUCCGAAUCCUCAAGAUGAAGAGCGCACCACUCAGCGAGCGAGUGAACGAGCAAGCAGGCAGGCAGGGAAUCGAUGCCAGCAUCAAUUUGACUAGCUGAUCCUUCUCCAUUUUGUUGUUGUUGUUGUUGGCGUUUAAUUGUUUUUUCAGAUAACUACUUUUCCAACCUGGUCGACUGUCAGUCUGUCCAGACAUCAUACAUCAAGUUGUUCUCGAAGGGAAUCCAUGAGACACGCGCUACAUAUAUAUUCUGUAUCUUGUUUUUGCUUUUGUUUUUUUUCUUUUUCUUUUAUCUCAGUUAUGUAUUUUAGAUCAUACGAUGAAGUAUGUAGCCUUCCAUGAAGCACUGUCAAAAAUGAAAAUCUUCUGGCCUAGAGCCAUUGUCAACUAUAUUAAUGUAUAUUGUACAGCCAUGCAAAUGGGCUAUAACAUGUUGUUAAAAAUUGUAAAAGUUUUCUAUACUGGUAUUGUAAGAUUGAAUUGUAUUUGUAUUAUUGUAAAACUGUGACAUGUACAUAUUAGUAUGGCUUAAGAAACGUGGCAGGGACGACUCGUUCGUAGAUGAGCUCGACAGACGAGGAUCCCUGAUGAUGGCCUACUACCCGCCCGUAAUGAGAGAGAGUGAAGGAGCGACUUGAAUGAAACAACUUCAUUUCUCUACGGGCCUACCCAUUCCUUUGUCGUCUAUCGAUCUUCAGGGGCUUUCGCUGAGAGGGGACGGGACGGGACGAGACAAUCAACCGUUCAAAUUUGGCUGGCAGAGAUAGCUACAACUGGGCAAACUUUUGAUUAUAACCUGAUCGACAAAAUUCAACCAUCCACCACCCCAUGUGCUGAGAUUGAAUCUCAUCCGA